rnacentral:sRNA from 2 species
GAGGAUGAGAACCUCCGGGGGCAGGGAGGUUCGACUCGAGCGAAGCGAGAGAACGUUGCGCCAGCAACGGCCCGCAGGGCGAGCCACGAAGUGGCGAGUAAUCCUCUAUCACCGACCA